rnacentral:rRNA from 1 species
CGUAGGGUGCGAGCGUUAAUCGGAAUUACUGGGCGUAAAGCGUGCGCAGGCGGUUCGUUAAGUUCGUUGUGAAAGCCCCGGGCUCAAUCUGGGAACUGCAAUGGAAACUGGCGGGCUUGAAUGCGGCAGAGGGGGGUGGAAUUCCGCGUGUAGCAGUGAAAUGCGUAGAGAUGCGGAGGAACACCGAUGGCGAAGGCAGCCCCCUGGGCCGACAUUGACGCUCAGGCACGAAAGCGUGGGGAGCAAACAGGAUUAGAUACCCUGGUAGUCCACGCCCUAAACGAUGCUCACUAGGUGUUGGGGAAGCGAUUCCUUGGUACCGUAGCUAACGCGUGAAGUGAGCCGCCUGGGGAGUACGGCCGCAAGGUUA